rnacentral:rRNA from 1 species
UACAGAGGGUGCGAGCGUUGUCCGGAAUCACUGGGCGUAAAGGGCGCGUAGGCGGCCGCCUAAGUCAGACGUGAAAUCCCUCGGCUCAACCGGGGAACUGCGUCUGAUACUGGGUGGCUUGAAUUCGGGAGAGGGAUGCGGAAUUCCAGGUGUAGCGGUGAAAUGCGUAGAUAUCUGGAGGAACACCGGUGGCGAAGGCGGCAUCCUGGACCGACAUUGACGCUGAGGCGCGAAAGCCAGGGGAGCAAACGGG